rnacentral:rRNA from 1 species
ACUGCUCAGUAACACGUGGACAACCUACCCUAUGGAGGGGGAUAACCCCGGGAAACUGGGGAUAAUACCCCAUAGACUAUGAAUGCUGGAAUGCUUUGUAGUCGAAAGGUCCGCCGCCAUAGGAUGGGUCUGCGGCCGAUUAGGUUGUUGUUGGGGUAACGGCCCAACAAGCCUGUAAUCGGUACGGGUUGUGGGAGCAAGAGCCCGGAGAUGGAUUCUGAGACACGAAUCCAGGCCCUACGGGGCGCAGCAGGCGCGAAAACUUUACAAUGCGGGAAACCGUGAUAAGGGAACUCCGAGUGCCCGUAAAAUCGGGCUGUCCAUCUGUUUAAAUAACAGGUGAAGAAAGGGCCGGGCAAGACCGGUGCCAGCCGCCGCGGUAAUACCGGCGGCUCGAGUGGUGGCCACUAUUACUGGGCUUAAAGCGUUCGUAGCUGGUCUGUUAAGUCUCUGGGGAAAUCUACUGGCUUAACCAAUAGGCGUUUCAGGGAUACUGGCAGACUAGGGACCGGGAGAGGUGAGGGGUACUCCAGGGGUAGGAGUGAAAUCCUGUAAUCCUUGGGGGACCACCUGUGGCGAAGGCGCCUCACCAGAACGGCUCCGACAGUGAGGGACGAAAGCUGGGGGAGCAAACCGGAUUAGAUACCCGGGUAGUCCCAGCCGUAAACGAUGCGCGUUAGGUGUAUCGGUGACCACGAGUCACCGAGGUGCCGAAGAGAAAUCGUGAAACGUGCCGCCUGGGAAGUACGGUCGCAAGGCUGAAACUUAAAGGAAUUGGCGGGGGAGCAC